GGCUUCUACAUUCUUACCUCAGUACCAACACACAGGCUGCUACCAAGGAGUAAGCCAGGAGGGUCCCGAUGGACAUGAGGUCCACAAGAUCUUUCAAGUCAAAGAGAAAGGCCAUAACAGCUGUAGGAGGAAAGCAAGGAGUCGAAGAGGAGAAAAAUAUUUCAGGUAACACACAGAGGAAAGCCAGCAUGAUCUCAGACAGGCAGCUGCUAUGCCACUAUGUUGUUCUUUAUAUGAUCAUACCCUCCAAGCACCAUGGAAACUAAAUUCCGAGAGACUGUGAACCUGCAGAUCAUCUCAAGAUUAAUUCCCCAGCAAUUCACAAGACAAAACUCUUAUCUCCAGAUACUUUAAAUAGAUCCCAAAGGGACCAGAAUUAAUCCUUGAUCAACUGUGAGUACAGACACUCUGUAGAAAAGCAUCUUUCCAUGAGCAGCUUCUUUCUAAGCAGACAGGACACUCUUUAGCACCCUAGCAAGCGUGCAGAAGCCAGGGGAUGCCAGAGGGAUGAGGUGGAGAUUCAGAGGAACUCCCAGCAGCAAUAAGCCCUCAGUCAGCAGCACAGGAGCCAUCAAAGGCACAUCCCACUGAUGAGGCCUGAAACCCUGGGUGAGUGCAAGAGUGAAGCAUCCAUUUUGUAAGAGAAACACAGGCACACAAACAAGGGUGACCCUACAGACCAGGCUGCCACCUUGAACUAAAGCUAGGCUCUGGCAGCACACCCAGCAUACUUACCAAUAACAUAGGACAGGAUUAGAUUCCAGCCCGUGAUGAAGGCCCACAGCUCACCCAC